rnacentral:snRNA from 1 species
AUUGAUUUAUAAAUCAGCAG